AUUGAACGCUGGCGGCAGGCUUAACACAUGCAAGUCGAGCGGAGAUGAGGUGCUUGCACCUUAUCUUAGCGGCGGACGGGUGAGUAAUGCUUAGGAAUCUGCCUAUUAGUGGGGGACAACAUUCCGAAAGGAAUGCUAAUACCGCAUACGCCCUACGGGGGAAAGCAGGGGAUCUUCGGACCUUGCGCUAAUAGAUGAGCCUAAGUCGGAUUAGCUAGUUGGUGGGGUAAAGGCCUACCAAGGCGACGAUCUGUAGCGGGUCUGAGAGGAUGAGCCGCCACACUGGGACUGAGACACGGCCCGGACUCCUACGGGAGGCAGCAGUGGGGAAUAUUGGACAAUGGGCGGAAGCCUGAUCUAGCCAUGCCGCGUGUGUGAAGAAGGCCUUUUGGUUGUAAAGCACUUUAAGCGAGGAGGAGGCUACCUGGAUUAAUACUCUAGGAUAGUGGACGUUACUCGCAGAAUAAGCACCGGCUAACUCUGUGCCAGCCGCCGCAGUAACAC
rnacentral:rRNA from 1 species